GUGAGGAAUAUUGGUCAAUGGGCGCAAGCCUGAACCAGCCAUGCCGCGUGCAGGAAGACGGUCCUAUGGAUUGUAAACUGCUUUUAUUUGGGAAUAAACUCCGGUACGUGUACCGGCCUGAAGGUACCAGAUGAAUAAGCACCGGCUAACUCCGUGCCAGCAGCCGCGGUAAUACGGAGGGUGCAAGCGUUAUCCGGAAUCAUUGGGUUUAAAGGGUCCGCAGGCGGUCUUAUAAGUCAGUGGUGAAAGCCUACAGCUCAACUGUAGAACUGCCAUUGAUACUGUAGGACUUGAAUUCGAUCGAAGUGGGCGGAAUGUGACAUGUAGCGGUGAAAUGCUUAGAUAUGUCACAGAACACCGAUAGCGAAGGCAGCUCACUAGGUCUGGAUUGACGCUCAGGGACGAAAGCGUGGGGAGCAAACAGGAUUAGAAACCCCGGUAGUCC
rnacentral:rRNA from 1 species